ensembl:lncRNA
GCUAACAAGAAGAGAUUAAAACGUGUCUCUUAAUAUUCCCAAGGGACAGAAGGACCUAUGGGGACAGAAGGGGGCUGCAGGAAGCCGGCCAGAGCGUCACACAGUAAGGCUGGCCUUCGAGGAGAGGGAGGGCUGGCCCCAGCUCCCUUCCCCAGGCCUCACUGGGUGAGCCCUGCUGCGAAGGCUCCCCAGUCCCUGGCCGGCAGCCAGGCAAGCAGCAGCGGCCUCGCCAAGCUGCAUCCCGUGAUAGCCUGAGUGGCUGGCGAUGGAAAUACGCGCGCUUGGCGUUAUCUGCCUCCAGCAAGCAACAGACUUCUCCGUCCGUUAUGCGACAUGGACAAGAUUGAGUUGCUGCUAUGGAAAGAAGAGUACUGUGUCUACUGCUUUGCUCUGUUUGUUUCUCCCUCCCACUAGACCAGUGGUUCUCAAUGGGGGAGGUUUUGCCUCCCGAGAGACACCUGACAAUGUCUGGAGACAUCCUGGGUACUCACACGUAGGAGGGGAGGGUGGGAGAGAGACUGACAUCGAGUGGGUAGUGCCAGGGCUGCUGCUGAACAUUCUGCACCGCACAGG